rnacentral:rRNA from 1 species
GACGAACGCUGGCGGCGUGCUUAACACAUGCAAGUCGAACGGAAAGGCCCUGCUUUUGUGGGUGGCUCGAGUGGCGAACGGGUGAGUAACACGUGAGUAACCUGCCCUUGACUUUGGGAUAACUCCAGGAAACUGGGGCUAUUACCGGAUAGGAGCUCCUGCGGCAUGGUGGGGGUGGGAAAGUUUCGGCGGUUGGGGAUGGACUCGCGGCUUAUCAGCUUGUUGGUGGGGUAGUGGCUUACCAAGGCUUUGACGGGUAGCCGGCCUGAGAGGGUGACCGGCCACAUUGGGACUGAGAUACGGCCCAGACUCCUACGGGAGGCAGCAGUGGGGAAUAUUGCACAAUGGGCGGAAGCCUGAUGCAGCAACGCCGCGUGCGGGAUGACGGCCUUCGGGUUGUAAACCGCUUUCGCCUGUGACGAAGCGUGAGUGACGGUAAUGGGUAAAGAAGCACCGGCUAACUACGUG